rfam:Picea glauca, whole genome shotgun sequence.
AUGUAAUGCCUACAACGUUAAUGCAUUGGAUCUCAUUAGAACUCCAUAGUUAAGUACGCUUGGGAUAGAGUAGUACUAGGAAGGGUGACCUCGCGGGAAGUCCUAGUGUUUUACAUG